rnacentral:piRNA from 1 species
CUCCAGUCUCCAUUUUUACCGGGAUCAGAAG